GCCGAAAUAGCUCAGUUCGGAGAGCGUUAGACUGAAGAUCUAAAGGUCCCUGGUUUGAUCCCAUGUUUCCACA
rnacentral:tRNA from 1 species